CCUACGGGUGGCAGCAGUAGGGAAUUUUCGUCAAUGGGCGCAAGCCUGAACGAGCAAUGCCGCGUGAACGAGGAAGGUCUUCGGAUCGUAAAGUUCUGUUGAAGGGGAAAAAGAGCGGAGAGAGGAAAUGCACUCCGAUUGAUAUUACCCUUCGAGGCAGUCACGGCUAACUACGUGCCAGCAGCCGCGGUAAUACGUGGGUGGCGAGCGUUAUCCGGAAUGAUUGGGCGUAAAGGGUGCGUAGGCGGCCUGCUAAGUCUGGAGUGAAAGGUACCGGCUCAACCGGUAUAGGCUCUGGAAACUGGCGGGCGAGAGAGCAGGAGAGGGCGGUGGAACUCCAUGUGUAGCGGUGAAAUGCUUAGAUAUCACGAAGAACUCCGAUUGCGAAGGCAGCCUGCUGGACUGUAACUGACGCUGAUGCUCGAAAGUGUGGGUAUCAAACAGGAUUAGAUACCCUUGUAGUC
rnacentral:rRNA from 1 species